rnacentral:ribozyme from 1 species
CGAGAAGAAAGAAAAGAGAAAUAAAAGACACAACACAAUAUUCUUUUCCCUUCUUUUUCUCUUCUUCCUUUUGUUCUCUUUCAAUUUACAAGGUGACGCGUGAAAUUGAAAGAGGAACAAAGAGAAGAAGGGAAAAGAAGGUAAAAGCCCAAUUUUUAAUAUGAACAAAAGCACGCACUUCACUUCUUUCCGUUUGUCUUUUGU